rnacentral:lncRNA from 1 species
GCCCUUGUGUGUGUGCAUUAGCUCAGCACCUGCCCGCACUGCAAGCCCCAGUAGGAUGUGCCUUGUCCUUCCCUGUUUCAGCCCUUAACACAAUACCUGGUACAGAGUAUGUAGUGGGCAUCUGUUGAAUGAAUGCUUUUCCCAGUAGCAGUGUAUUCAUACAAUAUUAAUGUAGUCAUCCCCUGGUUUACAGAUAAAACUGAAAGCACUAAGCGCCCAGUGAGUGAGACCCAGGUGUUCUUCCUCCACCCCUAGUGGUCCCCUGGGCAGGUCUUUUUUUGUAACACCCACCAGUCUGUUCUGUAGUCAAUCAUUGAUUGACUUGUCUGUGAACUUGAGAGGAGGAACUGUUUCACAGUUUCAUUAGCACAGAGUAAACAUGUUUGCCAUGCAAGGUUAUUUUACAUCUGCAUUUAAGUGAUAAAUGUUGAGUCAGUGAAAAGUUUUGAUUAAACAAUAGUUGUAAAUGCGCUAGGUUUUUCAAAUCACUAAUAUCAAGUGGAGAUUGUUUGUUUUUUCUUGUAAGGGUAUUGCUUUUGCGAUAGCAUAAAUAAUGGUUUUCCUUUUUUGUAAUGUAAAUUAAUUGCUGGCAACUUUUGUAUUCCCAUAGACCGGGGAAGCUUAAUUGCCUUUAUAAGUACUUAUGUACAACUUUGUAUCGAAUUUUCUGUAAUAGUUUAUGCUUUAUUACUAUAUAUGUACUAAGAUUUUAUCUGACUUCUGUUUAUAUCGUUUGUACAAUUACAUGGUUGUAAAAUAAACUUUUAAACUUCAAAAAAAACUGUUAGUUAUGACAGUGCUAGCUGCUAUAACACAAAAAUGCUGAAAUAUCAGUGGCUUAACACAAAAGUAUUUUCUGCUUGUGUUACAGCCUGGUAGAAAAGUUCCUGUGGCCGGGCGCAGUGGCUCACGCCUGUAAUCCCAGCACUUUGGGAGGUCGAGACCAUCCUGGCUAACACGGUGAAACCCGUCUCUACUAAAAAUACAAAAAAUUAGCCGGGUGCAGUGGCCGGCGCCUGUAGUCCCAGCUACACGG